CAACACAGAACACACAACAGGAGAGGCGAAUGAUGUCACAAGGGCUCAAGAAGCCGGAAAACAGGACCUUUGUGUCUCAGGGAACUCACUGUCCAAGGAUGGGAGGAAGUGAGACCGGCUUGAGUCACGUGUCCAGCCCUCCCCCAGUCACCGUGGUUGGAGGAUGAAGUGCUCUGAUUGACGACACCCGGGCUUCCUCUCCCCGGAACCAGGAGAAGGCUGGUUUUCAAAGGAAACUCCAGGCGCUAUUACCCUGAAAGCUGGACAAGCUGAAACCACAGACUCCUCAUCCACAGAUGGCUAUUAACUGUGUUGCAAAUAUUUGCUCAUCACACAUUGGUAGUCCCCUGGCCUGGCUAAUUACCCCAGCAGGCCUUCACAAAAACCAUGAAAAAAAGGCAGUAUGGCCAAUGCCCAUAAAGAUAUAACCAAGUCA